CAGGCUGCUCUAUAGGGUCUUGUGCAAGGCACUGUGGACAUGCUCCACCCUUGGGCUUGAGGUUCAGCAGCAGAGUACCUGACCCUAUUCCAUUUUAGCAGCACGGAUAUGGACUAUAACCAGACCACUUCCUAUGGCACCUGAGCCAGACUGAGGUGAUGGCUGUUUAGACCUCCUUCAUGCAGCACCUUUCCUCACGAUCAGCUUGCACCUCAUCCUUAUGACUCCAGAGCUACACUGAAACUUUACUCUUGAGACCAAGAGAGUGGAGAAGGAAUUAACAGGAUGCUCCUGAGCACCGUGGAAACUCCUGUUUUACUCAGCAGGAAAGACCUUUUCUCACCAGAAGCAAGGUAUUUCCCAGUCUGUGGCUGGUUUAUCAAAAGGAACAGAGCCAUGUCCUCACCCUGCAGCACCAAACCCUCCAUGGUUUUGCUCAGAGAAGAUUUUUUGGGCUACACUACUACAGGCAGGGGUGAAUGGGAUCCAUCUCCCUGCAGCGAGUGGCUACCGUUCAUUGUUUUUACAAACCAAAACUGAUGCACCCUCAACCUGUCACUGAACCACUGAUGGAACCUGACUGGCUGCUGCAGGCCCUGGAAUAGAGUCCAGCUGCAAUCCAUUAGUGCAGAAAAAUUCUCUGCAAGGAAAAAUCAGCAGCUUAUACUAAAAAAACAGAGCUGUUACAGCAUGACACUUUUCUGUUCUGUCUGCGUUAUUGUGGCAAUGUUCUUGCAGACUAUAUUUAAAAUGAAGCUAUAAAAAUAAAUUCUGAUUAGAUUUGAAUGCUUGAUGAAAUCAGCAUACAAUUUAGUUUUUCCACAGGGUGUUCAAGAAUAUUCAUAAGAGCUCUUUAAUUAUUMAAUAAUUACAAAUCACUCAUUAAAACAUUAUUCAUUUCACCAUAUAAUCAUGCCAAGUCAUAUAUCUCAAACCCUAGAAUUUUUCGUUUCUUAGUGCCAGACAGAUCCAAGCAAAGUUAAUUGAAUGUUUUUAAUAUUUAUGUAGUUAAAUGGCUAGUUCCCUAAACUGCAGCAGAGUCAUCAGACGAGGCCCAAAUCACAGGGAGAGCUCAUGAGCGUAUCAUGGGCUCAGCAGGCAGUGCAACUUAUGAAAUGCAUAGGAUGACACUUGGUUAAAUCGAAAAAAUACUCUUGCUAUCCCAUUAGAUUUGUCUAAGUUCUCCACAGGACCCAUAAGGGAACAUUUGCACUUUGCUUUCCUUAGGUCAAAGCAUCCCUAUUGCUUUUACUCCAUCAGUUACUCACCAGCUCCUGUUCCAAGGUACUUUCCCUCACUAUCCAAGCAGACAAAWGGAAAAUCUUGGGUGAARAAUGCUUGCUUGACUCCUCCAGAURAUGACAAAACACCUCAUCAGUCAGAGGGAUGAGGACACUAGCAAAAAUUUAGUUAGCAUUUCAGCCAUCCCAUCAUCCAGAAWGACCUCAGAGAAUAAYUACACCCGUGUAAAGAGGAGCUGCCUUUUUAUCCAAGCAUUUUCUGUGAAGCAGAUGUCACAUUUCCCCUUUUAUGAGUAAACUGAGGGUUUGACCAAACUAGAGUGGUUCCAGGGCUGGGUGGGGAUCAGGCUCACCUGAGGUUAGGAGAACAAACAUCUGGUGUGGGCAGCACACACCUGGUCACACCCUGAGGMCACCUGAGCCCAGGAGGGCUGCCAAGGAGCAGAGGGCACCAGAAAAAAGGCCACUCCAGAGACUCAUUGUCCUGAGUGCUGGGAUAGCUCUGUUCCCUCUGAAUCCAUAACUUUCCCUGUAAUUAUCUCAAGGGCCACUGACUAUAACGAGACAAAAAUAUGUUUUAUACUGAACAACUUUUUUUCCUGCCUGGCUGUUUUUCCAGCAUUUUAAUAACGUCCACRGGGUUUGUUCAGGGUCACAAGGGAAGAUGGUGGCAGAGCUGGGGACAAGGCUGAGAAAAAUCUCAUUCUCAUUCUUUCUAUCCACUGAGGAAUGCACUUUGCCAAAUCAAAGUGACAGGAUGAGUUCAAAGGCAAAGCAGCAAACUUAGCAGUUAAUCCAAGCAUUAUUUCUACAAAUGAUACUAUAUCAUACUGACAGAGAUGAGGCCCACUCCUUGACCUUAUUUUUGGCAGAAUUGCUUUCUCUGGAGAGAAAAAAAGCAUUCUGUAUUCUUGAGGUAGAGUUAUGGACACCCUUAGUAAUUGAAUAUAGUUCCUUUCCUUACCCAGCAGGCUACUGAAGAUUCGAUAUCUGCAGAAAUAGCCAUGGAAAGGCUGACAAAAUAUCCAUCUGCUUACAAAGUCACAGCACAGCGUGCCCACCUAUGGUAGGAGAGUAAAGGCUGCAACCUGCUGUGCCACAGAAAGAGGUCAGAAGGGUGGAUGACACUGCAAAUAUGCAGGUGUAGCAAAACAGAGGCCUGUGACACCUAGAAAUUAUAAUUGUGUUAGAAUAUAAUUAAUAUGCCUGCCUUCAUUUUAAAUAUGCACAAGGAUGGUGUAACUAAGAGCAUGUAAGUAUUUUGUAACACUCGAGGCACAGCAAGAUGAAAACCUUAAGUAUUUUGGAUAGGUAUGUGAGCARCAUGACUACCAAAGAUGGGUGAAGCUGCAAGUAGGUGGCAUUCAGCUAACAAAAACUGCCAGAGGGAGAACRCGAUCAGCACAUGGGACUGCAAAUAGCCAGGACAGCCUGCAGACUACACGAGAAGGACGACUGGCAAAGUGAUACUGGGAGGAGGUGAGGUCUUCCUUACUGAAAGCAGAACAUAGYAUAAACCAUCAGGCAUAAGCGAUUUUUUUUUUUUUUUAACAGAGAAAAGAAAGAUGACAGGGUCAUCUUUGAAAAGAUCUAUGAAAAAUGGCCUCUCUCGUAAAUGGGCUUUCAGGCCUGGUCACCAAAUCUUGGCACACAGGAACCACCGAAGAC